CCCCGAGCGUCCCUUAGACAUCAACCAUGAUAUAUUUCCCACAGGACUUGACGGAACCUCGUCCGCAAUCUGGGAUGAAGCAUCUAACCCUGAAAAAGAGGUACCCACCGGCAAUUUAGAGUCUUUACCAGAAAAUAACAGAGGACUUUUCAACUUCGACACAUCCGAGGACGGUUUCAAGCCACAUGUCGAAGCUGAAUUCCAGAGAUCCACACCCACAUCCACCGCUGGUUCAUACUUCCCAGAAGAUUCGGCCAAGCCUACAGGCGCUAAAUAUCUAGAUAGUGUCCCACGCUUUGAAUCAUCUUUGUCCAGAUUCUCAUGGGAGUCGGAUGUGGCUCGCACGAACCGUCUUAGUCCACCAUCGGAUUUCCAGCUAGAGCUAUCCCCGCCGAAAACUGGCCAUGUCGCUGCAGCGUCUGGUGCAAAGGCAGCAGUUAGCGGCGGAUACUUUGAUCUACUCAACGGCCAACAACUAAGCUCGGAAAGGACUCCAAAUGCUACUAGCCAAGGCUCCUUUGCUUGUCCACGCAAUAACAAAUAUCGGACUGAAAGCAGAUUCAUCGAGAAUUUCGUUGACAUACAUUCCAGUAGCGCUAGCGAUUCAGCCAUUCAGAACUCCAAUGGCAUCCAAAAAUACAAGAACAUGAGAAGCAUCAGUGAUGGAUGGCUGUCUGAUGGGAAGCGUCGUGGUUACGGCUAUCGUUUUGUGAUGGAGGAUGAUGGCAAACCCCCAAACUCAGAAACAAACGAUAUAAUGCAGUUAAUUUAUCAAGAAUCCACACCUGAGACCGAUCUACGUGAUCUCGUCGAGUUUACGGGCAG
rnacentral:sRNA from 1 species